AUUGAACGCUGGCGGCAUGCUUUACACAUGCAAGUCGAACGGCAGCGCGGGCUUCGGCCUGGCGGCGAGUGGCGAACGGGUGAGUAAUGCAUCGGAACGUGCCCAGUAGUGGGGGAUAGCCCGGCGAAAGCCGGAUUAAUACCGCAUACGACCUGAGGGUGAAAGCGGGGGACCGAAAGGCCUCGCGCUAUUGGAGCGGCCGAUGUCGGAUUAGCUAGUUGGUGGGGCAAAGGCUUACCAAGGCGACGAUCCGUAGCUGGUCUGAGAGGACGACCAGCCACACUGGGACUGAGACACGGCCCAGACUCCUACGGGAGGCAGCAGUGGGGAAUUUUGGACAAAGGGGGCAACCCUGAUCCAGCCAUGCCGCGUGCGGGAAGAAGGCCUUCGGGUUGUAAACCGCUUUUGUUCGGGAAGAAAUCCUCUGGGCUAAUACCCCGGGGGGAUGACGGUACCGGAAGAAUAAGCACCGGCUAACUACGUG
rnacentral:rRNA from 1 species